rnacentral:tRNA from 1 species
GAUUAUAUAGUCUAUAUUAUGAUUUUGAAUUGCAAAUUCAAAGAAGGAUGAUUUUCCUGUAAUUU